GAGUUUGAUCCUGGCUCACGAUGAACGCUAGCGGCAGGCCUAAUACAUGCAAGUCGAGGGGCAGCAGAUCGCUUCGGUGAUGCUGGCGACCGGCGCACGGGUGCGUAACGCGUAUGCAACCUGCCCUCAACUGGGGAAUAGCUUCCGGAAACGGAAAUUAAUACCCCAUAAUGCAGGGGGUCCACAUGGAUCUAUUGCUAAAGCUCCGGCGGUUGAGGAUGGGCAUGCGUCUGAUUAGCUUGUUGGUGAGGUAAUGGCUCACCAAGGCGACGAUCAGUAGCGGGUCUGAGAGGAUGAUCCGCCACACUGGUACUGAGACACGGACCAGACUCCUACGGGAGGCAGCAGUAGGGAAUAUUGGUCAAUGGGCGAAAGCCUGAACCAGCCAUGCCGCGUGCAGGAAGACGGCCUUCUGGGUUGUAAACUGCUUUUAUCAGGGAAGAAGAAACCCGAUGCGUCGGGUGAUUGACGGUACCUGAAGAAUAAGCACCGGCUAACUCCGUGCCAGCAGCCGCGGUAAUACGGAGGGUGCAAGCGUUGUCCGGAUUUAUUGGGUUUAAAGGGUGCGUAGG
rnacentral:rRNA from 1 species